AGAGUUUGAUCAUGGCUCAGGAUGAACGCUGGCGGCGUGCCUAAUACAUGCAAGUCGAACGAAGAUGUUCUUGUGUUCGCACGAGAGCUCUUAGUGGCGGACGGGUGAGUAACGCGUUGGUGACCUGCCCUAAAGAAGGGAACAACCUCGGGAAACUGAGGCUAAUACCCUAUGUGCUUCUAGAGAUUAGAUGCUUUAGAAGUAAAGGUUCUGUGGACGAAAGGCCACAGCAUCGCUUUAGGAGGGGCCUGCGUCCCAUCAGCUAGUUGGUAGGGUAAUGGCCUACCAAGGCAAUGACGGGUAGGGGACCUGAGAGGGUGACCCCCCACACUAGCACUGAAACACGGGCUAGACACCUACGGGUGGCAGCAGUAGGGAAUCUUGCACAAUCGACGAAAGUCUGAUGCAGCAACGCCGCGUGUGCGAUGAAGGCCUUCGGGUUGUAAAGCACUUUUCUGAGGGAAGAGAAAGGACAGUACCUCAGGAAUAAGUCUCGGCUAACUACGUGCCAGCAGCCGCGGUAAUACGUAGGAGGCGAGCGUUAUCCGGAUUUAUUGGGCGUAAAGCGCGUGCAGGUUGUUUGGUAAGUUGGGUAUGAAAUCUCCUGGCUUAACUGGGAGAGGUUGCUCAAAACUACCAGACUAGAGGACGGUAGAGGAAGGUGGAAUUCCCGGUGUAGUAGUGAAAUGCGUAGAUAUCGGGAGGAACACCAGUGGCGAAGGCGGCCUUCUGGGCCGUUCCUGACACUAAGACGCGAAAGCAUGGGUAGCAAACGGGAUUAGAAACCCCGGUAGUCCAUGCUGUAAACGAUGUGAACUUGAUGUCGGCAACGUAAUAGUUGUCGGUGUCGAAGCUAACGCGAUAAGUUCACCGCCUGGGGAGUACGAUCGCAAGGUUAAAACUCAAAGGAAUUGACGG
rnacentral:rRNA from 1 species